rnacentral:tRNA from 1 species
GCCAUGGCUCUGUGGUAGAACGUCUACUUUGCACAUAGAAGGUCUCAGGUUCAAUCCCUGGUAUCUCCA